UACAGAGGUCUCAAGCGUUGUUCGGAUUCAUUGGGCGUAAAGGGUGCGUAGGUGGCGCUGUAAGUCAGGUGUGAAAUUUCGGAGCUCAACUUCGAAACUGCAUUUGAUACUGCGGUGCUUGAGGACUGGAGAGGAGACUGGAAUUUACGGUGUAGCAGUGAAAUGCGCAGAUAUCAGGAGGAACACCAAUGGCGAAGGCAGCACUCUGGGACGUGACUGACGCUGAGACGCGAAAGCGUGGGGAGCAAACAGG
rnacentral:rRNA from 1 species